rnacentral:rRNA from 1 species
AUGAGCAUCAAGAGUGUUAUCGACCUUGUGAAAGCCAUCUUUCAUUACAAGGUGAAGUACGGCAAAGCAUGGAAGGCGAAGCAAGCCGCAUUCAAGAUGUUGUAUGGCAAUUGGGAGGAAGCAUACAACCGACUCCCUAGGUUGUUGUCAGCUAUGGCCGCCACAAACCCAGGCAUGGUUCACGUGGUUGAGCCUCAUGGGCACCAAACAUUGAUUCACAACGGGAGGACCGUUCGAGUAUUUGGCCGUGCAUUUUGGACCUUUGAGCAAUGCGUGAGGGCUUUUGAGCAUUGUCGGCCCGUCAUCGCCAUUGAUGGCACGUUCUUGACCGGACAAUACAAGGGCACUUUAUUGGUUGCAAUAGCAAGUGAUGCCAAUAAGCGGGUGUUGCCUUUGGCUUUCGCUUUGGUUGAGGUGGAGAACAAUGAUAACUGGGAGUGGUUCUUGCGUCAAUUGAGAACAAGGGUAUUACCGGCUCAAAGGGAAAUUUGUGUCAUAUCGGAUCGCCAUCCAGGAAUUCUAAAUGCGGUGGUGGUUGACAUUCCCGGACAUACAAAGUUGCACCAUCGAUGGUGCAUGAGGCACUUUUGUGCAAACUUCUAUAGGGCAUGUGGUAUCAAGGAGUUGGUCGCGACUGGACCCGGGCUGCCACGUUGGCAGGAUGUACAACGCCUAAGGGAAGGGCGCUGCAACGUUGGGUGCGGCGCCUUGCUGUCGGGCGCCACACGAAAGGGUCUGUGA